AUGGAUCUCCUUCUCUGGCUGUGCUGUAAGCUGGCGGUAGUUCGGUCCCUCGUAGGCCAUUUCCCUGGAACUGCAAUCUGCUCUGGUGCGGACAGCAGUGUAGAGGCACUUGGACUGCUGAAAGAGGGUCUGGAGGAGGCCAAAACCCUGACACUAAAGCCCUGCUGCUUUUACAAGGUGUCCACCUCAACACACACCAUGGCAGACCCAGAGAAGACAGUACGUCUAUGCUACAGUGAGCUGAGAGGAACAGGAAGCCAGACUCUCCACCUGCUCACACAGAAACUACAGCAGCAACAGGUUUUUGAUAUUAUUAUUAUACUCAAAAUGUUUAAGCAUGACACAAGUAGAUAUUUAUGUGAACUUAACCUUUGUUGUUAUCUAAAAUGUGUUAAUUCAGCUGCUUAA
ensembl:lncRNA